CCUACGGGUGGCAGCAGUGGGGAAUAUUGGACAAUGGGGGCAACCCUGAUCCAGCCAUGCCGCGUGUGUGAAGAAGGCCCUCGGGUUGUAAAGCACUUUCAGUGAGGAAGAACGCCUGGUGGUUAAUACCCAUCAGGAAAGACAUCACUCACAGAAGAAGCACCGGCUAACUCCGUGCCAGCAGCCGCGGUAAUACGGAGGGUGCGAGCGUUAAUCGGAAUUACUGGGCGUAAAGCGCGCGUAGGUGGCUUGAUAAGCCGGUUGUGAAAGCCCCGGGCUCAACCUGGGAACGGCAUCCGGAACUGUCAAGCUAGAGUGCAGGAGAGGAAGGUAGAAUUCCCGGUGUAGCGGUGAAAUGCGUAGAGACCGGGAGGAAUACCAGUGGCGAAGGAGGCCUUCUGGACUGACACUGACACUGAGGUGCGAAAGCGUGGGUAGCAAACAGGAUUAGAUACCCCUGUAGUC
rnacentral:rRNA from 1 species